UCCGGUAUGGUGUAAUGGUUAGCACACGACGCUCUCACCGUCGAGAUCGGGGUUCAAUUCCCCGUACCGGAA